rnacentral:rRNA from 1 species
UACAGAGGUCUCAACCGUUGUUCGGAUUCACUGGGCGUAAAGGGUGCGUAGGUGGUGAGGUAAGUCGGAUGUGAAAGCUCGGAGCUCAACUCUGAAAUGGCAUUGGAAACUACCUUGCUCGAGGGUUGGAGGGGGGACUGGAAUGCUUGGUGUAGCAGUGAAAUGCGUAGAUAUCAAGCGGAACACCAGUGGCGAAGGCGAGUCCCUGGACAACUCCUGACACUGAGGCACGAAAGCUAGGGGAGCAAACAGG